GUGGAUGUAGCUCAGUCGGCAGAGCAUCGGGUUGUGGUCCCGAGGGUCGCGGGUUCGAGCCCCGUCAUCCACCCCA
rnacentral:tRNA from 1 species